UUGAUGCAUAUGAGGAGACACAAGUUUCAUGGGUAGUUUUCGUCUGAGGCCUCUCUGUGAUGUCACACCCUUUUCACCUUGGAGAUCUGACGAGUCCU
rnacentral:snoRNA from 2 species